AUGCGCUCACCAACUGCCAGUCACCGACAGGCCUGGCAGCCAGUGGGGGUGCCUGGGGGAGUGGGGUCUGAGGGAUCCCUAGAAAUGCUAAGCUUCCUCUGGGGCCCCCAUCACACCCCCAGGGCUGGGAAAGAUGGGGCAGCACGGAAUCUAGCUGAGGGGCUUCAUUUUCAGGGUCACAGAGGUGGGGUAUCACCCAGUCAUGGUUUUGCGAGACUUCUCAAGAGUUCUGAGUCCAAGAUGCACCUUUUGAAAGAAGGAGCUGGAAGCCCAGGGACCAGAGCGGUCUGUCCCACAUUACACAGCCAUUCAGAGGCAGGGUCCGGGCUAGAACCCAAGACUUCUAAUGCGAGUCUGGUUUGCCCUCAACACACCGGGCAAACAGCCCUGGUCUGUGGCUGGAGCAGGUGGAGAGGCGGAGGUCAGACACGUGGGGUGGGACGUUCGAACUAAGAACUGACUCUCAGACUCGGCUCUGCCAUGUGGGACCUCUGAGAUUUCAGGUCAUAACUUUACUGUCUGCCCCUAAAAUGCAGCCCCUAUGUCUUCCAGUUGCUGUUAGGCCAAGCAAGAAAAUUAAUACAAAUGUUAUUAGAAUUUACUGAGCAUAGGAUCAGGCUCUCUGUUAGGUUCUUUCAUGCCAUGUCUCAUUUAAUCCUGAACAACCAGAUGAGCUGGGAACUGCUAUUGAUUUCCUUGUUGUUGUUCAGGUGCUAAGUCGUGUCUGACUCUUGGUGAUCCCAUGGAUUGCAGCACGCCAAGUUUCCCUGAUUUUUUAUUCCGUUAAUUUAUUAAUUUCUUUUUUUAAAUUUUUGGCUGUGCUGGGUAUUUGCUGUUGCUCCAGUCGCAGUGAGCGGGAGUCUACCCUCUAGCUGCAGUGUGCGGGCUUCUGAUCGUGGUGCAGAGCGCGGGCUCACAGGCUUAGCUGCCACGAGGCAUGUGGCAUCUCUCCUGACCCGGGAUUCAACCUGUGUGUGUCCCCGGCAUCGGCAGGCAGAUUCUGAACCACUGGACCACCUGGGAAGUUCUGGGAACCACUAUUGCUUGCUGUCCUCCUCCAUCCACGCCCAUUGUUUGGAGGAGGAAACGGAAGCUUGGGAAAUGUUAACUGCUAGCCCAAGGUCAUCUAGCUGUGACUGCAGCCGAGCCAGGACAGCACCCGGCAAAGCUCUGCUCUGGGCCACUGAGCCACCCCACCUUGUUGCCACAUAGGUGGAGAAAAAGAACCAGGAAGGCUCCGUGAACUCACCAGAUGGAGUUGCCCAGAAGGAGGACAGGGCCCUGGGGGUCACACUGAGAGUGGGGGUGAUGUUAGAAGGAGGGCAUUCAUUGAUGAAGUCAGGACUCAUCUAGUCUGUGUCCGUGUCCUGCCGCUUCUUCCACGUGACCUCCCAGGUCUCCACCCAGGGAACCCUCCUUCUGGGGCCGGGCGGUAGGGGUGGGGAUCCAUCCAUCAGCCAAUUUGCUUGAGCUCCUGGGUGUCCCUUGGGCCUGCAGAUCCAUCUACGGCCACCAGAGGGCGGGCCAGCUCUGUGCCAAGUCCCGGGGACACAGUGCCCCGCAGAGAGCCCUGCCAGGUGUGCAGACCGGAAUUAGAUGAGCCCUUUCACUUUGACCCGAGGGCCAUCAGCCUGGGCUUCCCCAGUGCUCAGUGAGCAAAGAGUCCACCUGCAAGGCGGGAGACCCGGGUUUCAUCCCAGAGUGAGGAAGACCCCCUGGAGGAGGAAAAUGGCAACGCACUCCAGUAUUCUUGCCUGAAAAAUCCCAUGGACAGAGGAUCCUGGUGGGCUACUCAUCCAAAAGGUCGCAAAGAGGUAGACAGCACUGAGCAACUAAGCAAGCGUACCCACAUCAGCUUCCAUCCCUUAGAUCCCCAAACCUCUAACUGCAGAAGUUCAGUUCCAUCCGACAGGGUGUCUGAUUCUACUGAGAUAAAGACUUAAGGAUCACCAUCCAAACAGUAAUGACAACAGCUGCCACCGCCAACACUCGCAGAACCUCGUUUCACUAAGCCCUUUCUCAUACCUUGACUUGCUGGAGACUUACUGGUAAGCUGAAGCACAAUUGUGAGUGGUAUAAUCCCAUUGUACAGAUGAGGAAACUGAGGCCCCAGAAAAAGGAAGGCAUUCUCUUUGGGUCACCUAGAGGACUCUGAUCUUCCGGAAGAGCUGUUUCCAAUUUUCUGCCUGUCUGUAGGACAGGCUGGGGGUUGGGGGGACGGCCCAAGGGAGGGGAGGAACAAGAGGUGGGAAAGCUCUCCUGGGAAGAUGGUAUUUCCUGUAAAUUGACAUCCCCAUCGCCCACCCUCGCGCCAUUCAUCCACCCGACCUGUUCAUUGAGCACCUGCUGGGGACGCAGAGAUGGAUGAGGCGAAUUUCCUGCCCUCAAAUAGCUGGCGGUCUAGUAGGGGAAAGUAGUGAGUCAGCACAUAAUUAUAGGCAACCGACGCCUGGGUAGUGGGACACGUGAGCACAGGGAAUGUUCGCCGACUGGGACACACCCAACUUCGAGGUGUCUCUUUCGGCUCCCAGGCCGGGAUCACUGGCAGGGGCGCCCCCUUCCUGCAAGUCAUCCUGGGACGGGAGCCCCCCUCCCAGCGCUGGGACAAGCCAGUGUCGGGGGUCCCGGGCCCCCCCGCCCCCAAUUACCCCCUCCCCAAGAGCGCCAGCCCCGGGACCGCUGACAGCGCACGCCUGAGUCAGCCCGCCGCCCACCCGCCCCUCGGCGUCCGUCUCCGCCGCGUGUGAUAUUUCGCUCCCGGGAGCCAGCCCCACCGCGCUCCGGAGGCAGCCCGGCAAACAAACCCAGCGACAGAUUGUGCCGCGGCUCAUUCCGGGGAAGGCCGCCAAAUCCCACCCUGCUUCCCCCAAACUCCCUCCCCGCCGCCCCCUGCGGGCCCCCCUCCCGGGCGCGGGCGCCCCGCGGAGUGGGCCCUGGGAAGCGCAGGGACCCUGCUUUCUAGAGAUGGGGGAGGGGGGACAGGGGCCCCGGGGCCGCCCCUCUGCAUUCCCACCCCACCCGAAGGCUGAGUCGCGGGGAGAGGGCGUUUAGAUGCUGGCAGCCGGGGAAGGGCAGGCAAUGGAGCCGACUGGGGGCGCCCGAGCGCCGAGGGGCAAGAGGGCUGGGAGCCCGCGACUGAAACCGGGUGGAAAGGGAGCUGAGAGACACGAGACCCAGAGAUGGAGAGACAGGGGGUCACGAGGACCGGAGGCGAGCG
ensembl:lncRNA